rnacentral:rRNA from 1 species
GACGAACGCUGGCGGCGUGCCUAACACAUGCAAGUAGAACGAAGUGGCGAACGGGUGAGUAAUACGUGGGUAACUGCCCUCCUUUUUGGGAUAAGCCUUGGAAACGGGGUCUAAUACAGAAUAAAGGGGGAUGGCUCGCGGCCUAGCAGCUUGUUGGUGGGGUAGUGGCCUACCAAGGCGACGGCGGGUAGCCGGCCUGAGAGGGCGACCGGCGACAUUGGGCUGAGUGACGGGCCAAACUCCUACGGGAGGCAGCAGUGGGGAAUAUUGCACAGUGGGGGGAACCCUGAUGCAGCAACGCGCGUGCGGGAUGACGGCCGUCGGGUUGUAAACCGCUUUCAGCCAUGACGCGGUAGUGGCAGAAGAAGCACCGGCUAACUACGUGCCAGCAGCCGCGGUAAUAG